rnacentral:rRNA from 1 species
UAAGACGAACCGUGCGAACGUUGUUCGGAUUCACUGGGCUUAAAGGGCGCGUAGGCGGGUCGUCAAGUCAGGGGUGAAAUCCUCCAGCUCAACUGGAGAACAGCCUUUGAUACUGACGGUCUGGAGGGAGGUAGGGGUGUGUGGAACUUCCGGUGGAGCGGUGAAAUGCGUAGAUAUCGGAAGGAACGCCGGUGGCGAAAGCGACGCACUGGACCUCUUCUGACGCUGAGGCGCGAAAGCCAGGGGAGCAAACGGGAUUAGAUACCCCGGUAGUCCUGGCCCUAAACGAUGGGUACUAGGUAGUGGACCAGGUAUGGGUUCCCUGCCGAAGCGAAAGUGCUAAGUACCCCGCCUGGGGAGUAUGGUCGCAAGGCUG